CUUGUUUUAAUAAACAAUGUCUCUUUCUAGGAAGGUGUUUUGCUUCAGAGGGUCUGCUAGCUGAAGUGCCACUGUGCUCCUCUGAGCACAGAACAUGGAUGUCUUUGGUCUCUGGUAGGAGGAGUGAUGGGCCGCACUUACAGAUCCCAGGCACAGAGCAACAUUUUGCAGGCACUCUGGACUCUAUGAACAGAUGACAGACCACACAGUCAUUAAAGUCUCUAAGAGUUCAGCAGAGAGGGAAAUCACUAUGAACUGGCAUGUGGAAGAAUGAGGAAGAGUGACCUGGACCUUCAAAGCUGGCAUUCUGAAAUACAGAAGGAGAGCCCUGAAGACUGUGACUAAAUCUGCUUGCGUAGGUAAAAAGGUAAUGCUGCAGAGAAGUACAGAUAAAGAUGGAAAU
rnacentral:lncRNA from 1 species